rnacentral:sRNA from 1 species
UACUUACCAUUGUCUUGCUUCUUUCGUCGGAGGGCUCUCAUUGUGCUUUCCGAAAAGCUAUCACAUGCCAACUUUGGCCUCACGGUUUAAAAGUUAUGAGUCAAAAAGUUUUAACAUAAAAAAAAAGGGAUGCAACACGAGGACUUCUCAGGAGGUCACCCAUCCUAGUAUUACUCUCGCCAAAGCACGUUUAACUGUGGAGUUCUGAUGGGAUCCGUUGCAUUCGUUUUGGUAUGAUCACAUCCGUUAGUACAUGCUAUGCAAUCGUAUUUAUACUUUUUUGGC